CUCCGACCUCAGAUCAGACGAGAGUACCCGCUGAAUUUAAGCAUAUCACUAAGCGGAGGAAAAGAAACUAACUAGGAUUCCCCUAGUAAUGGCGAAUGAAGCGGGAAGAGCCCAGCACCGAAUCCCGCAGCCUUGCGCUGCAGGGAACUGUGGUGUUUAGGACGCCUAUUGCUGCAGCGUUCGGGUGCCCAGGUCCUCCUGAUCGGGGCCUCUCCCAGAGUGUGUGUCAGGCCUUUACUGGCACCCGACGCAGUGGCUCUGAACGUCCUUGGAGUCGGGUUGUUUGAGAAUGCAGCCCAAAGCGGGUGGUAAACUCCAUCUAAGGCUAAAUACCGACACGAGUCCGAUAGC
rnacentral:rRNA from 1 species